GCGCUUAUGGUUUAGUGGUAUAAUUCUCGCUUAGGGUGAUCGCAUGUCGAUCCAAUCUGCGAGAGGUCCCAGGUUCGAGCCCUGGUAAGCGCC